rnacentral:rRNA from 1 species
CCUACGGGAGGCAGCAGUGGGGAAUAUUGCACAAUGGGGGAAACCCUGAUGCAGCGACGCCGCGUGAGUGAAGAAGGAAUUCGGUAUGUAAAGCUCUAUCAGCAGGGAAGAAAAUGACGGUACCUGAGUAAGAAGCCCCGGCUAACUACGUGCCAGCAGCCGCGGUAAUACGUAGGGGGCAGGCGUUAUCCGGAUUUACUGGGUGUAAAGGGAGCGUAGACGGGAGUGCAAGUCUGGAGUGAAAGGCGGGGGCUCAACCCCCGGACUGCUCUGGAAACUGUACGGCUGGAGUGCAGGAGAGGUAAGUGGAAUUCCUAGUGUAGCGGUGAAAUGCGUAGAUAUUAGGAGGAACACCAGUGGCGAAGGCGGCUUACUGGACUGUAACUGACGUUGAGGCUCGAAAGCGUGGGGAGCAAACAGGAUUAGAUACCCGUGUAGUC